rnacentral:rRNA from 1 species
GAUGAACGCUGACAGAAUGCUUAACACAUGCAAGUCAACUUGAAUUUGGGUUUUUAACUUAGAUUUGGGUGGCGGACGGGUGAGUAACGCGUAAAGAACUUGCCUCACAGCUAGGGACAACAUUUAGAAAUGAAUGCUAAUACCUGAUAUCAUGAUUUUAAGGCAUCUUAGAAUUAUGAAAGCUAUAAGCACUGUGAGAGAGCUUUGCGUCCCAUUAGCUAGUUGGAGAGGUAACAGCUCACCAAGGCGAUGAUGGGUAGCCGGCCUGAGAGGGUGAACGGCCACAAGGGGACUGAGACACGGCCCUUACUCCUACGGGAGGCAGCAGUGGGGAAUAUUGGACAAUGGACCGAGAGUCUGAUCCAGCAAUUCUGUGUGCACGAUGAAGUUUUUCGGAAUGUAAAGUGCUUUCAGUUGGGAAGAAAAAAAUGACGGUACCAACAGAAGAAGUGACGGCUAAAUACGUGCCAGCAGCCGCGGUAAUACGUAUGUCACAAGCGUUAUCCGGAUUUAUUGGGCGUAAAGCGCGUCUAGGUGGUUAUAUAAGUCUGAUGUGAAAAUGCAGGGCUCAACUCUGUAUUGCGUUGGAAACUGUGUAACUAGAGUACUGGAGAGGUACGCGGAACUACAAGUGUAAAGGUGAAAUUCGUAGAUAUUUGUAGGAAUGCCGAUGGGGAAGCCAGCUUACUGGACAGAUACUGACGCUGAAGCGCGAAAGCGUGGGUAGCAAACAGG